UCAAACCAUGGAUCUGUGUAUUUGAGAUUCUAAGCGAUGGAUCGGUGGAUCUGAGCUUCAAUUUCUAACUGAGCGCUAUCAAUCCGCUAUCAAUCCCCUCUUCAUCUUCAUCUUCGUCACUAAUUUUUUCAUUAGUUUCAUGGGUAUGUGUAUUUGUGAUUUUUGUUUCAUGGGUUUGCUCAAAAUCGAAUUGGGUCUGUGAUUCGAAGGCUUUUUCUUCAUGAAUUUGUUCAACAACGAAAUGGGUCUUGGAUCAGUCCCUUUUUUUUCUUCUCAAUCUAUCCCCAAACCGUAGUAGGAUUCCCAAUUUUCUAGGGUUCUUCCCCAAUUUCAAAUCCAC
rnacentral:lncRNA from 1 species